AAUGAUGAGAUUGCUCUGAAGGGAGGAUGGCAGUGAGGAUUGUCGAUGAAUCGGAUCAGAUCUGGGGAUAAUUCGGUGGGGAAAUAGUAGAAGAAUUAGAGAGAAGAGAGGUGGGUUCCUGCUCUCGCGUCCCACUGAGUCCAGUGGACAUCUAUUUUACGCCAACAUGACUCGGACUUGUCCCGACACUUUCCAGAGAUGUCGACAAGUCUCAAAUGCUGAACUCC
rnacentral:lncRNA from 1 species